rnacentral:rRNA from 1 species
CAGUAGCCGCGGUAAAACGUAGGGUGCAAGCGUUAAUCGGAAUUACUGGGCGUAAAGCGUGCGCAGGCGGUUUGUUAAGACAGAUGUGAAAUCCCCGGGCUUAACCUGGGAACUGCAUUUGUGACUGGCGAGCUAGAGUAUGGCAGAGGGGGGUAGAAUUCCACGUGUAGCAGUGAAAUGCGUAGAGAUGUGGAGGAAUACCGAUGGCGAAGGCAGCCCCCUGGGCCAAUACUGACGCUCAUGCACGAAAGCGUGGGGAGCAAACAGGAUUAGAUACCCCGGUAGUCCCUGUCUCUUAUAC